rnacentral:rRNA from 1 species
CCCUUCGAUGUUCUGGGCUGCACGCGCGCUACAAUGAUACACGAAACAGGUUGUUCAGCUUUGAUAGAAGCUGGUAAUCAAUAGUGUGUAUCGUACCGGGAAUCGACAAUUGUAAUUAUUGGUCGUGAACCAGGAAUUCCUAGUAAGCGCAAGUCAUCAGGUUGCGCUGACUAUGUCCCUGCCCUUUGUACACACCGCCCGUCGCUCCUACCGAUUGAGUGUUCCGGUGAACUGAUUGGAUUAGCAGUUACUUUCUGGAGACAGGGGUUCUUGCCGAGAAUUUCCGUAAACCUUAGCACUUAGAGGAAGGAGAAGUCGUAACA